UACGUAGGAGACGAGCGUUGUCCGGAAUUACUGGGCGUAAAGAGCGUGUAGGCGGCCCGGUAAGUCCGCUGUAAAAGUCAAAGGCUCAACCUUUGAAUGUCAGUGGAUACUGCCGGGCUAGAGUCCGGAAGAGGCGAGUGGAACUCCUGGUGUAGCGGUGGAAUGCGCAGAUAUCAGGAAGAACACCAACGGCGAAGGCAGCUCGCUAGGACGGUACUGACGCUGAGACGCGAAAGCGUGGGGAGCGAACAGG
rnacentral:rRNA from 1 species